CGCUGGCGGCGUGCUUAACACAUGCAAGUCGAACGGUGAAGGGGCUGGCUUUUGUUGGUCCUGGAUGAGUGGCGAACGGGUGAGUAACACGUGAGUAACCUCGCCCCCUUCUUCUGGAUAACCGCAUGAAAGUGUGGCUAAUACGGGAUAUUCUGGGUCUGUCGCAUGGCGGGCCCGGGAAAGAUGCGCCUUUGGGUGUUUUUGGUGGGGGAUGGGCUCGCGGCCUAUCAGCUUGUUGGUGGGGUGAUGGCCUACCAAGGCGGUGACGGGUAGCCGGCCUGAGAGGGUGGACGGUCACACUGGGACUGAGACACGGCCCAGACUCCUACGGGAGGCAGCAGUGGGGAAUAUUGCACAAUGGGCGGAAGCCUGAUGCAGCAACGCCGCGUGCGGGAUGACGGCCUUCGGGUUGUAAACCGCUUUCACCCAUGACGAAGCGCGAGUGACGGUAGUGGGGGAAGAAGCACCGGCCAACUAC
rnacentral:rRNA from 1 species